rnacentral:lncRNA from 1 species
UUUUUUUUCUUAACUGCAGAUUUCACCAACUAUUACGUACAUAUAUUGUGUUACUGGACAUUACCUCUAUAUGUGUUCACUUGAAAAGAUAAGACUAUUUUAUCGACCAAUAUUUUCCACUUCCAUUUGAAGGGAAUAUUAUGGUUCUCUAGGGAUUUAUGUUAUCUUACCGUUCUAUAUGAUGAAAAUGAUUCUCUUCUUCAUUCCCUUUCUAUCCACCUCUAACAUGUUGUUUGCUGCUUUUUCCUUGUUAUGAUUUUUCCUGCUCUUUUAAAAAUCAUUAACUCAUUAGGCAUAUAAGAAAAAGAAUGCAAGGUUUAGUAAGGUGCUUUUGGAACUUAAAAAAGGUUCAUUCUUAUUCUAAAGGAGGGUAUGCAAUCAAUAUCGUGGCAUUCUGAUGGCUCUUGUAAGUUUCAAAUGGGAGAUUAUGGGACAACUUGAUUGUUAACCUCCAUUAUUAUUAAACAAUCAAACUAAAGCUUUCUUACAUGCACCCCGCAGUUAGCCCCAUAACACCGCACGAUCAAAUCAGCGCCACAGGAUUAGCCACAAAUCUCCAUCUAACAGCUAUCUUUAAUCUAAUCCGAUCCCUGAUGUGCAGUUAGUAAUUUAACAUGACUGACCGUACUCCACCGCGGAGGAAAACACCUCCGCACAGAACGCACAAAGCAUUUUCCUCUAUAUUAUCCCUUCCGCCAAUCACUAUCCUACCUCGCCCACCCCGCACUCCCGAUCUCUGCCGCCACCUCCUGCAUCGACCUCCGCUGGUGCCGCUACCUCCUAUGCCCCGGCCCGCGCCCCCCCCCAACGCCGACCUCCGUCGGCGCUCCUCCCGUCCUGCACGCCCAACGAAUCUUCACCAGAGCGCCUCCACGCAGAGAACGCCGGGGCGCAUGGGGAACCUCCAUUGCACUCCCUUCCAACGGGCGCCCGGCGGGAACUCAGCUCCUCCCCUCUCUCUUCUUCACCACCAACCCAGCCCACCAAUGACGAACCAAGACGAGGAGGUGGCAGCUGAAAUUUUGGAUCGCUCACAGGGUGCAGAGAUCCAACAAGCGACGGGGGCGGCGCUUCAAGCUCUGCAGGUAUUGCCCCCCCUCCCCGGCAUGUUUCCUAUUUAUUUGACUCUCUCUGGGGAGGUCCGCCUACGGGGAACCGGCAGCACCCACGGUGCGGCUUGGUUUGUGCAGACGUCCAGUCCACUAUAAUUAACACCAAACACCUCAACCCAGAUUGAUUUCAUGGCAAAAUCAAAGCUUGUCAUGUGUACCUCUAUUGCAGGAAUAGGAUUAAUGGCACACGAGAAGAAUUCGUCAAACACGCUCUCGGCCUGAUGUAAGUACUACUUCUAGGCAAGCUUUUGGAUGACACCGGUUCAUAAUUCAACAAGCAUACCAAGCUUCUCAAGACCCAGAAGUUCGCGUCCAAGCUUGACCACAUGGUUACGUUUUUUUAAUGUCCAGAUUAGUUUUUUUUCGUGCCCUAUGCCUCCAUUGAGUUCUAGCUUUCAGAGUGGAGUUAACUAUCAAACGUGGGUUCAAGUUAAACUCUAAUUUAUUUAUUCCUUUGGAUUCAAGUGGACAUGUCAUAGGUGCAGAUGGGCUUGAUUAAGCCGUGAAAUCAACUUCAUAUACAGACUGACGUAAACGUGAAGUUUUUUAGUAGAUAUUUCUUCAAAAUAUGAAUGGUGCUUGCUUCUUGCGUCCAAAUAUGAUUCACUGGUUUGUUGCUUCAAAUUAGGUUUGAACCAACCAUGCGUACAGUGAACACAUCAUAAUUAUGAGCUGAAUUUUUUGCGUUCCAUUAAUUUUCGUAACAUGUUUUUUGGCAUUGUUGUUGCUAAUUUCUUUGACAUUGAUUUUCAUAGCUUGCCGUUUGACACCGUCGGCCUCGCGAACAAACCAUACCUACAGUAAGCAGAUCGCUAUUAUUAGCAGAAACUUUUUGUAUUCCAUUGAUUUUCAUAGCAUGCUUUUAUUUUGCUAAUUUCCUUAACAUUGAUUUUCAUAGCAUGCUGUUUGAUACCGUCGGCCUCGCCGUACUCAGUCAGGUUUCCACGGGAAGGCGUCAGGUAGCCAUUUAUCAUGUUUCUCCUAUUUUCUUUCUCCAUGCAUCCGUCCAUCAUGUGCUUUGAAAGCUGCUAUAGGUUCAUGGCCCGAUUUACUUUCAGGAGUUCCAUAUGAACUGGUUGACUGUGGGUGUGGGCAUGGGUUCCUCGGAGAAGGGAUCCACUCUUUCACAGCUAAGUAUUUUUUACCUAAAAAAAGAUCCAUGUCUACACUGCUAUAGAUUUGGUGUAACUCAUAUUACAAGUAUGCCUCUAUAUAUGUUCCCAAAUGAGCGAACCCCUUGCAAUGUCAAGGUUAUGCAUGUCUUUCACAUUGUUGCUUCCCAUUGCCCAUUGGUAUCUGCCUCGGAUGGCUUCACCAUUGCAAAAGCUAUUGUAGUCGUGCACAACAUACUUCACUGAACUCUUUGUAGCUUUGUGGAAUUUUGCUAAAAACUGUUGUUACUAUUUCAGCAUCGAGAGUGAUGUUAUUUUCUUCCUAUGUUGUAGACGCUAGAAACGUUUGGUGAAAGGAAACACCAUCAUGGUCUUUUAUAGAGCUACAAAUGAAUCUUUACCAAUGUUUUUCCGUAGGCAAUUGCUCUGCUUGAAACUGUGAGGUCGGUAUUUUGAUUUUGAUUUUUUUUCUUAACUGCAGAUUUCACCAACUAUUACGUACAUAUAUUGUGUUACUGCACAUUACCUCUAUAUGUGUUCACUUGAAAAGAUAAGACUAUUUUAUCGACCAAUAUUUUCAACUACCAUUUGAAGGGAAUAUUAUGGUUCUCUGGGGAUUUAUGUUAUCUUACCGUUCUAUAUGAUGAAAAUGAUUCUCUUCUUCAUUCCCUUUCUAUCCACCUCUAACAUGUUGUUUGCUGCUUUUUCCUUGUUAUGAUUUUUCCUGCUCUUUAAAAAAUCAUCAACUCAUUAGGCAUAUAAGAAAAAGAAUGCAAGGUUUAGUAAGGUGCUUUUGGAACUUAAAAAAGGUUCAUUCUUAUUCUAAAGGAGGGUAUGCAAUCAAUAUCGUGGCAUUCUGAUGGCUCUUGUAAGUUUCAAAUGGGAGAUUAUGGGACAACUUGAUUGUUAACCUCCACUACUAUUAAACAAUCAAACUAGAACUUUCUUACAUGCACCCCGUAGUUAGCCCCAUAACACCGCACGAUCAAAUCAG